GUAGCUUUAGCUUAGGAGUAGUAGCUAGCUUGAGCUUGCCUUUCCAGUCGCCGAGGCGACGACACGCUCCCCUCCUCCUCCUCCUCCUCUCCUUCCCCCUUCUUCAAUGGAGGCGUGCCAUGCCUUCCUCCUCCAUCCUCUCGCCUCCUCGAUCACCCAUCUCGAAGCUUCUUCUGAUCGGUCGCUGACGCUGCUCGUCGUCCGUGCCACGAGGAUCACCCAUCUCGUGUUCUUGCUCUUCACCAAGCUUUAGCUGGUUGUCAUCAGGUUAUUGAUUCCUUGCCCGUCGGCUAGGUCGGGCAGCCGGAGCGCCGUGCAGGAUCUGGUCUGCUUGCCUACCGGCCGGCGGUGACAACGAGAGAGAGCACGCCGGGGCGGCGAUCGCGGUGAGCCACCCCGCGGCGGCGUACCUGCGUGCUUUCUCCCGUUGUCACUGGCAUACAUACCACAUACAUACAUGUGCUCUUGCAUGCGCGCAAGCUUCGCCUUCCUGCUGGUGCUGUGCUGCCGGCCAUCGACUCCUGAAUUCUCCAGCAUCCCAAGGAGUUGAUUUUGAUUUUGGUGCAUGCAUGUGCGUUCAUCAUCAGCAUGUUUUCCCCAAAGCAAGCAACUGCUGGAGUCUCUCAAUCUGAAGAACAGAUUUAAUUACCCAAAGGCCAAGGCUGUCAACUGGUGCAUACGAAACACGUUGAGAAACAGUGUGAGCUUGAUCUUUGUGACAGAUGCAGUGAUUUUGAUUAUCUUUUUCCGUUCCUGCACAUGCUACUGGACGAGUACGAAAACCGUCGCCAAUGAUGCAUCCAAUGUUUAUGUAAGCAUAUAGAUGCAGACAUUUUGACUUGACUUUACAUCCGAUUUGUGCUCAUCCCCUUGAAAUUUGUACAUCACCAUAAUCUCCUGUUUCUUUAGGCAACUUAUUACAGUGACCCCUUUUGAGGGUUGUCUUCGCUGCUGGAGUAAUUGUGCAGGACUGGGAUAUUAUCAGAUAUACUAAGAUGGAUUUGCUGCAUAUGUUUACAAUCAUAUCCUUGAGCGGUUGUGGAACUAUUGUAACAAAUAAAUGAUAAUGGCGUUGCACAUGUUAGAUGGAGUUUAUCCAUUACUCACUCUGUUUAAUAUCGCAAGAUUUUAUGGCAUUUCUAGAUUCAUAUAUAUGGUUUGCAUUUAUGUCUAGAUAUGUUAGUAUUAUAUGAAUGUAGCAAUGCUAGAAAGUCUUGCGGUGUAACGGAAGCCGAUCGUAUUA